CGCGGCCUAUCAGCUUGUUGGUGGGGUGAUGGCCUACCAAGGCGACGACGGGUAGCCGGCCUGAGAGGGUGAUCGGCCACAUUGGGACUGAGAUACGGCCCAGACUCCUACGGGAGGCAGCAGUGGGGAAUAUUGCACAAUGGGCGGAAGCCUGAUGCAGCGACGCCGCGUGAGGGAUGACGGCCUUCGGGUUGUAAACCUCUUUCAGCAGGGACGAAGCGUAAGUGACGGUACCUGCAGAAGAAGCACCGGCUAACUAUGUGCCAGCAGCCGCGGUAAUACGUAGGGUGCGAGCGUUGUCCGGAAUUACUGGGCGUAAAGAGCUCGUAGGCGGUUUGUCACGUCGUCUGUGAAAUCCUAGGGCUCAACCCUGGACGUGCAGGCGAUACGGGCUGACUUGAGUACUACAGGGGAGACUGGAAUUUCUGGUGUAGCGGUGGAAUGCACAGAUAUCAGGAAGAACACCGAUGGCGAAGGCAGGUCUCUGGGUAGUAACUGACGCUGAGGAGCGAAAGCAUGGGUAGCGAACAGGAUUAGAUACCCUGGUAGUCCAUGCCGUAAACGGUGGGCGCUAGGUGUGGGGUUCCUUCCACGGGCUCCGCGCCGUAGCUAACGCAUUAAGCGCCCCGCCUGGGGAGUACGG
rnacentral:rRNA from 1 species